AUGCACUUUGCCAGGGAGAGGUCAACGAACAACACUGCCGAGUACGAAGGGCUGCUUGCCGGUCUCAGGAUCGCGGAAGAGCUCGGAAUAAGAAAACUCAUCGUCAGAGGUGACUCACAGCUUGUCGUCAAACAAGUCAACAAAGAUUAUCAGAGCCCGUUGAUGGAGGCCUACGUAGAUGAAGUGAGAAAGUUGGAGGAACGUUUUGCUGGUCUACAGGCAGAGCAUGUUCCUCGAGCAGAGAACAACAUUGCUAACAACCUGUCAAAACGCGCUGCCUUAAAGUUAUCUGUGGAACCAGGGACCUUUGUGCUCCAACUAACUCAGCCAUCCGUGGAACCAUCGGCAAAGCAAGAUAAGCGAAGGAAGUUGAGCCCCGGCAAGCAUUUUCCAGCCGAGCUCCCAAGAGCCGCCAGCAAGGAUGCUGCCGGAGACGCCAAGCUGGCCGAGGAGCAACAGUCUCUGGCAGGGCGUCAAGACCUUGCCAUGGAGACGAUCGCUCCCGCAGCAGAAGAGAUGCCUUUAGUCCUUGCCGUCGAGCCUCAGGCUCCGGCAUGGGCACAACAUACCGUUCGAUUUCUCCAAACAGGGGAUCUCCCUGAGGAGCAGGAAGAAGCGGAGAAAGUAGUCCGUCGGUCUGCCAUGUACCAGUUCGUCGACGUCGUUUUGUACAGAAAAAGACCAAACGGCGUGAAAUUGAAGUGUAUUCGCCGGGAGGACGGACUGGGGCUAUUGGCAGAGAUACAUGGAGGCAUAUGUGGAUCCCACAUAGGGUCGAGAGCCCUUGUCAGCAAGGCAUUCCGGCAAGGUUUCUUCUGGCCCACCGCCCUCCAGGAUGCAACUACACUAGUAACCAAGUGUGAAGCGUGUUAG
rnacentral:rRNA from 1 species